rnacentral:misc_RNA from 1 species
GCUGAAACUACCGUGUCUCCGGUCGGUUAGCCGGAACACUAAUUUCACCAAUCGAAGCUCCAAUUCGUUCCCAUGGAGUUACCGACGGUUACAUAUUUCAGCUUCAGCAUCAGCAUCAGCUUCAGCUCCAUUAGUAGAAGGCCCGAAACUUGGACCCGGUUCGCUAGGGCAUAUCACCCGUUCCGACUUCCCUAUACUUCACCAGGAGAUAAAUGGCUUGAAGCUUGUAUAUUUGGACAAUGCUGCAACUUCCCAGAAGCCAAGAGCUGUGAUCGAAGCUUUGCAGAAUUAUUAUGAAGCUUACAAUUCCAAUGUCCACCGGGGCAUUCAUUAUUUGAGUGCAAAGGCGACAGAUGAGUAUGAGUCAGCAAGACAAAAGGUGGCAAAUUUCAUUCACGCGGCCGAAGCUAAAGAGAUCAUUUUUACAAGAAAUGCUACUGAGGCUAUCAACUUAGUGGCUUAUUCUUGGGGACUCUCAA